ACGAACCGUGCAAACGUUAUUCGGAAUCACUGGGCUUAAAGCGUGCGUAGGCGGCUAAGAAAGUUGGGUGUGAAAUCCCUCGGCUCAACCGAGGAGUUGCGCUCAAAACUACUUAGCUUGAGGGAGUUAGAGGUGAGCGGAACUAAUGGUGGAGCGGUGAAAUGCGUUGAUAUCAUUAGGAACACCGGUGGCGAAGGCGGCCCGCUGGGCUGUGGCUGACGCUGAGGCGCGACAGCGUGGGGAGCAAACAGGA
rnacentral:rRNA from 1 species